UGGGGAAUAUUGCGCAAUGGACGAAAGUCUGACGCAGCAACGCCGCGUGAGGGAUGACGGCCUUCGGGUUGUAAACCUCUUUCAGCAGGGACGAAGCGAGAGUGACGGUACCUGCAGAAGAAGGACCGGCCAACUACGUGCCAGCAGCCGCGGUAAUACGUAGGGUCCGAGCGUUGUCCGGAAUUAUUGGGCGUAAAGGGCUCGGAGGCGGUUCGUCACGUCGGGAGUGAAAACUCGGGGCUUAACUCCGGGCGUGCUGCCGAUACGGGCAGACUAGAGGUAGGCAGGGGAGAGCGGAACUUCUGGUGUAGCGGUGGAAUGCGCAGAUAUCAGGAAGAACACCGGUGGCGAAGGCGGCUAUCUGGGCCUUACCUGACGCUGAGGAGCGAAAGCGUGGGUAGCGAACAGG
rnacentral:rRNA from 1 species